GUGCCAGCAGCCGCGGUAAGACGGAGGGGGCUAGCGUUGUUCGGAAUUACUGGGCGUAAAGGGCGUGUAGGCGGUCGCUCGUGUCGGGCGUUAAAGACCUGGGCUCAACCUGGGGGCUGCGUUCGAGACUGGGCGGCUGGAGUCCGGGAGAGGGUAGCGGAAUUCCCAGUGUAGAGGUGAAAUUCGUAGAGAUUGGGAAGAACACCGGUGGCGAAGGCGGCUACCUGGCCCUGGACUGACGCUGAGGCGCGACAGCGUGGGGAGCGAACAGGAUUAGAUACCCUGGUAGUCCACGCCGUAAACGAUGCGUGCUAGCCGUCGGGGGGUUUGCCCCUCGGUGGCGCAGCUAACGCGGUAAGCACGCCGCCUGGGGAGUACGGCCGCAAGGCUAAAACUUAAAUGAAUUGACGGGG
rnacentral:rRNA from 1 species